UGAUCAUGAAUUUAACGGCCGCGGUAUUUUGACCGUGCAAAGGUAGCGCAAUCACUUGUCUUUUAAAUGGAGACCUGUAUGAAUGGCACGACGAGGGCUUAACUGUCUCCCCUCUCCAGUCAAUGAAAUUGAUCUCCCCGUGCAGAAGCGGGGAUUUACCCAUAAGACGAGAAGACCCUGUGGAGCUUUAGACACCAAGGUAUGCCAUGCUAAGAAUCCCUGUUUAAAGGACAAAACUGUAGGAUUUUACCUGACUGUCUUUGGUUGGGGCGACCGCGGGGUAAUAAAUAACCCCCAUGUAGAGUGGGAGGACUACCCUCCUACAAGCAAGAGCUCCCGCUCUAGCUAACAGAACUUCUGACUAAAAAUGAUCCGGCAAAGCCGAUCAACGGACCGAGUUACCCCAGGGAUAACAGCGCAAUCCUCUUCCAGAGCCCAUAUCGACAACGGGGUUUACGACCUCGAUGUUGGAUCAGGACAUCCUAAUGGUGCAGUCGCUAUUAGGGUUCGUUUGUUCAACGAUUAAAGUCCUACGUGAUCUGAGUUCA
rnacentral:rRNA from 1 species